rnacentral:rRNA from 1 species
UACACGACCGUACCGCAAACCGACACUGGUGCGCGAGAUGAGUAUUCUAAGGCGCUUGAGAGAACUCAGGAGAAGGAACUCGGCAAAUUGACACCGUAACUUCGGAAGAAGGUGUGCCUUUAGUAGGUGAACCUGUACAAGGGGAGCCCAAUGAGGUUGCAAAAAAUCGGUGGCUGCGACUGUUUAAUAAAAACACAGCACUCUGCAAACACGAAAGUGGACGUAUAGGGUGUGACGCCUGCCCGGUGCUGGAAGAUUAAAUGAUGGGGUGCAAGCUCUUGAUUGAAGUCCCAGUAAACGGCGGCCGUAACUAUAACGGUCCUAAGGUAGCGAAAUUCCUUGUCGGGUAAGUUCCGACCUGCACGAAUGGCGUAACGAUGGCCACACUGUCUCCUCCUGAGACUCAGCGAAGUUGAAAUGUUUGUGAUGAUGCAAUCUCCCCGCGGAAAGACGGAGAGACCCCAUGAACCUUUACUGUAGCUUUGUAUUGGACUUUGAACAGAUCUGUGUAGGAUAGGUGGGAGGCUUUGAAGUGUGGUCGCUAGAUCGCAUGGAGCCAACGUUGAAAUACCACCCUGGUGUGUUUGAGGUUCUAACCUAGGCCCGUAAUCCGGGUCGGGGACAGUGCAUGGUAGGCAGUUUGACUGGGGCGGUCUCCUCCCAAAGCGUAACGGAGGAGUUCGAAGGUACGCUAGGUACGGUCGGACAUCGUGCUAAUAGUGCAAUGGCAUAAGCGUGCUUAACUGCGAGACUGACAAGUCGAGCAGAUGCGAAAGCAGGACAUAGUGAUCCGGUGGUUCUGUAUGGAAGGGCCAUCGCUCAACGGAUAAAAGGUACUCUGGGGAUAACAGGCUGAUACCGCCCAAGAGUUCAUAUCGACGGCGGUGUUUGGCACCUCGAUGUCGGCUCAUCUCAUCCUGGGGCUGUAGCCGGUCCCAAGGGUAUGGCUGUUCGCCAUUUAAAGAGGUACGUGAGCUGGGUUUAAAACGUCGUGAGACAGUUUGGUCCCUAUCUUCCGUGGGCGCUGCAGAUUUGAGGAAGCCUGCUCCUAGUACGAGAGGACCGGAGUGGACACACCUCUGGUGUAUCGGUUGUCACGCCAGUGGCAUUGCCGAGUAGCUAUGUGUGGAAGAGAUAACCGCUGAAAGCAUCUAAGCGGGAAACUCGUUUCAAGAUGAGAUCUGCCGGGGCCUUGAGCCCCCUAAAGAGUCGUUCAAGACCAGGACGUUGAUAGGUCGGGUGUGGAAGCGCAGUAAUGCGUUAAGCUAACCGACACUAAUUGCUCGUGCGGCUUGACC